UACGUAGGUGGCAAGCGUUGUCCGGAAUUAUUGGGCGUAAAGCGCGCGCAGGCGGUCCGUUAAGUCUGAGGUGAAAGCCCACGGCUCAACCGUGGAGGGUCAUUGGAAACUGGGGGACUUGAGUACAGAAGAGAAGAGUGGAAUUCCACGUGUAGCGGUGAAAUGCGUAGAGAUGUGGAGGAACACCAGUGGCGAAGGCGACUCUUUGGUCUGUAACUGACGCUGAGGCGCGAAAGCGUGGGGAGCAAACAGG
rnacentral:rRNA from 1 species